rnacentral:rRNA from 1 species
UACGAAGGGGGCUAGCGUUGUUCGGAAUUACUGGGCGUAAAGGGCGCGCAGGCGGCCCUCCAAGUCAGGCGUGAAAGCCCCGGGCUCAACCCGGGAAUAGCGCUUGAGACUGGGGGGCUUGAGUUCGGGAGAGGAGAGUGGAAUUCCCAGUGUAGAGGUGAAAUUCGUAGAUAUUGGGAAGAACACCGGUGGCGAAGGCGGCUCUCUGGACCGACACUGACGCUGAGGCGCGAAAGCGUGGGGAGCAAACAGG